AUGGGAAACAGGGUGAAGCAGAGAAGCAGGACCCGGCAGUGGCAAGCACUCUUCCCUUUCCUGCUGCCUUUGUUCUGCGGGGCACCCUCGGAGCAGAUCCGCUACUCUAUUCCAGAAGAAACGGUCCAGGGCUCCGUGGUGGGGAACCUUGCGGAGGACAUGCGGCUGCAUGUUCAGGAUUUAUUGACCUGAAACCUUAGAGUUAGUGCAGAGAAACAAUACUUUACCGUGAACACGGAGAAUGGGAACAUACUUGUGAGUGACAGAAUAGAUCGAGAGUCACUGUCUUCAAAAUCCUCUGUGUCAUACCCUUAGAGAUUGUAGCAGAGAAUCCUCUAAAUGUUUUUCACAUAAAUGUGAUGAUAGAAGAUAUAAAUGAUAACCCACCUCAUUUUCCCCAAAAUAGCAUUGUUUUACAAAUCAAUGAACUAGCAAUUCCAGGCAUUCGGUUUGGCCUGGAAUCUGCUAUAGAUGCAGAUGUAGGGCCUCACUCUCUCCAGAGUUACCAGCUCAGUUCUAAUGAACAUUUCUCUCUGAUGAUGGACAAGACUAAAGGCAAGAACGCUCCAGAAUUAGUGCUGGAGAAGCCCCUGGGCCAGGAGCAACAGAGCUCUCAUCUCCUGGUCCUGGAAGCAAUGGACAUGGGUGACCCAGUCCCAACUGGCACUGCUGCAAUUCAAAUUGAGGUCACUGAUGCCAACGAUAAUGCCCCAGUUUUUAGCCAGGAUGUAUACAAAGUCAGCCUUAGAGAGAAUGUGCCCCCAGGCACCUCUGUACUAAAGGUGACAGCCACUGACCAGGAUGAGGGUGUCAAUGCGGAGAUCACCUACUCUUUCAAAUCCCUACGAGAUGAUAUUGGAAAUAUGUUUGUGCUAGACCAUCAAAAUGGGGAAAUUAAAUCCAAAGACUUAAUAGACUUCGAAUUUCGUAGCAGUUAUACCAUGAGAGUAGAAGCUAAGGAUGGUGGAGGCAUGACCAGCGAAUGUAAAAUUAUACUAGAAAUCCUAGAUGAGAAUGACAAUGCCCCAGACGUGGUUUUUACUUCAGUGUCCAGUUCUGUAACUGAGGACGCAGAACCCUGGACGGUGAUCACUCUGUUCAAAACACAUGAUAAAGAUUCGAGAGAAAAUGGGGAGGUUACAUGCCUCAUAAACGAAAGAGUUCCUUUUAGAAUCGAAUCUUCCGCCAAUAAUGACUAUAAGCUUGUAACAGAUGGGACCCUGGAUUGGGAGCGGAUCCCGGAGUACAACGUCACCAUCACUGCCACUGACAAGGGCAAGCCUCCGCUCUCAUCCAGCACAAGCCUCACCCUACGCAUUGGUGAAGUCAACGACAAUGCUCCGGUUUUCCACCAAGUCUCCUACGUGGUCCACGUGGCCGAAAACAACCUUCCCGGAGCCUCCAUCCCACAAGUCAGCGCCUCUGACCUGGACCUAGGGCUGAAUGGCCAAGUCUCCUACUCCAUCGUUACCACUGACUUGGAGCUGCGGGCACUGUCGUCCUACGUGUCCGUGAGCGCACAGAGCGGGGUGGUGGUCGCGCAGCGUGCCUUCGACCACGAGCAGCUGUGCGCCUUCGAGCUCACGAUGCAGGCCCACGACCAGGGCUCGCCCGCGCUCAGCGCCAACAUGAGCCGGCGCAUGUUGGUGGGCGACCUCAAUGACAAUGUGCCGCGGGUGCUGUACCCCGCGCUGGGGCCCGAUGGCUCCGCACUCUUCGAUAUAGUGCCACGCGCCGCAGAGUCCGGCUACCUGGUGACCAAGGUGGUGGCGGUGGACGCAGAUUCGGGACACAACGCUUGGCUGUCCUACCACGUGCUGCAGGCCAUCGAGCCCGGGCUUUUCAGCCUGGGGCUGCACACGGGAACCUGCUGGUUGCUGUGCGUGACGGAGGACAGCCGCCGCUCUCUGCGCCGCUACGCUUCACCUAGUCUUCGCAGACAGCCUGCAGGAGGCACUGCCAGACUUCAGUGA
ensembl:lncRNA PCDHGB8P protocadherin gamma subfamily B, 8 pseudogene